GCCGCGGGCAGAGCGCGGCAGCCCGGCAGAGCGGGAGGCAGCGGCCGCCGCUUUCGCUUUUUGUUCCGGGGCCGUCCCGCCGAGCUGGGGGCCGCCGGCCGCCCCUCCCUGCGCCCCAGGGGAGGGCUGGGAAAGAAACCUGAAGUCGUGAGUCUGGUGGAGCCCUGCGUGUUUCCAAACGCCCUGCUCUGAGUUCAUCCCACCAGUAAGGCUGUGCAGCGUGAAAACUGCUGUUGCAAAACUACCAGAUUCAACCUCCUGGGGAGCCUUUCUGGCCAAGGUUUUACAAGCCAGCACCUGCUUUGCCUGCCUGACUCUUUCUAUAUUUAUUCCUCUGCACCUGGUUUUUGCCUUUGCCUGUGGAACUGUCACAAACAUUUGUGCUGGCUUUUGACUGCACAGGACUUCAGCUUGCAAGUCCUAAAUCUGCCUUUGUGCAUGGUGGAGGAGCAGGCGUUUUUGUGCAUGGCUGUGCCAUCUGUGUGUCUGAGC
rnacentral:lncRNA from 1 species